GAUGAACGCUGGCGGCGUGCCUAAUACAUGCAAGUCGAGCGAAUGGAUUAAGAGCUUGCUCUUAUGAAGUUAGCGGCGGACGGGUGAGUAACACGUGGGUAACCUGCCCAUAAGACUAGGAUAACUCCGUGAAACCGGGUCUCAUACCAGAUAACAUUUUGAACCGCCUGGUUCGAAAUUGAAAGGCGGCUUCCGCUGUCACUUAUGGAUGGAUCCGCGUCGCAUUAGCUAUUUGGUGAGGUAACGGCUCACCAAGGCAACGAUGCGUAGCCAACCUGAGAGGGUGAUCGGCGACACUGGGACUGAGACACGGCCCAGACUCCUACGGGAGGCAGCAGUAGGGAAUCUUCCGCAAUGUACGAAAGUCUGACGGAGCAACGCCGCGUGAGUGAUGAAGGCUUUCGGGUCGUAAAACUCUGUUGUUAGGGAAGAACAAGUGCUAGUUGAAUAAGCUGGCACCUUGACGGUACCUAACCAGAAAGCCACGGCUAACUACGUGCCAGCAGCCGCCGUAA
rnacentral:rRNA from 1 species